ACGAACAAAAGCCGGGUGAACAAAGG
rnacentral:sRNA from 1 species